ACCUCCGCUUCGCUCGUUGAACUCUUUCUGUGAGUAUAUCUCCGAUGAACGGUGGAGGAAGA
rnacentral:snoRNA from 18 species